rnacentral:rRNA from 1 species
UACGUAGGGGUGCAAGCGUUUAAUCGGAAUUACUGGGCGUAAAGCGUGCGCAGGCGGUUGUGCAAGACAGAUGUGAAAUCCCCCGGGCUUAACCUGGGAAUUGCAUUUGUGACUGCACGGCUAGAGUGUGUCAGAGGGGGGGGUAGAAUUCCACGUGUAGCAGUGAAAUGCGUAGAUAUGUGGGAGGGAAAUACCCGAUGGCGAAAGGGCAGCCCCCCCCUGGGGAUAAACA